GACGAACGCUGGCGGCGCGCCUAACACAUGCAAGUCGAACGAGCGAGAGAGAGCUUGCUUUCUCGAGCGAGUGGCGAACGGGUGAGUAACGCGUGAGGAACCUGCCUCAAAGAGGGGGACAACAGUUGGAAACGACUGCUAAUACCGCAUAAGCCCACGGCUCGGCAUCGAGCAGAGGGAAAAGGAGCAAUCCGCUUUGAGAUGGCCUCGCGUCCGAUUAGCUAGUUGGUGAGGUAACGGCCCACCAAGGCGACGAUCGGUAGCCGGACUGAGAGGUUGAACGGCCACAUUGGGACUGAGACACGGCCCAGACUCCUACGGGAGGCAGCAGUGGGGAAUAUUGCACAAUGGGGGAAACCCUGAUGCAGCGACGCCGCGUGGAGGAAGAAGGUCUUCGGAUUGUAAACUCCUGUUGUUGGGGAAGAUAAUGACGGUACCCAACAAGGAAGUGACGGCUAACUACGUGCCAGCAGCCGCGGUAAAACGUAGGUCACAAGCGUUGUCCGGAAUUACUGGGUGUAAAGGGAGCGCAGGCGGGAAGACAAGUUGGAAGUGAAAUCUAUGGGCUCAACCCAUAAACUGCUUUCAAAACUGUUUUUCUUGAGUAGUGCAGAGGUAGGCGGAAUUCCCGGUGUAGCGGUGGAAUGCGUAGAUAUCGGGAGGAACACCAGUGGCGAAGGCGGCCUACUGGGCACCAACUGACGCUGAGGCUCGAAAGUGUGGGUAGCAAACAGGAUUAGAUACCCUGGUAGUCCACACCGUAAACGAUGAUUACUAGGUGUUGGAGGAUUGACCCCUUCAGUGCCGCAGUUAACACAAUAAGUAAUCCACCUGGGGAGUACGACCGCAAGGUUGAAACUCAAAGGAAUUGACGGGGGCCCGCACAAGCAGUGGAGUAUGUGGUUUAAUUCGACGCAACGCGAAGAACCUUACCAAGUCUUGACAUCCCUUGACAGGCAUAGAAAUAUGUUUUCUCUUCGGAGCAAGGAGACAGGUGGUGCAUGGUUGUCGUCAGCUCGUGUCGUGAGAUGUUGGGUUAAGUCCCGCAACGAGCGCAACCCUUAUGGUCAGUUACUACGCAAGAGGACUCUGGCCAGACUGCCGUUGACAAAACGGAGGAAGGUGGGGAUGACGUCAAAUCAUCAUGCCCUUUAUGACUUGGGCUACACACGUACUACAAUGGCGUUAAACAAAGAGAAGCAAGACCGCGAGGUGGAGCAAAACUCAGAAACAACGUCCCAGUUCGGACUGCAGGCUGCAACUCGCCUGCACGAAGUCGGAAUUGCUAGUAAUCGUGGAUCAGCAUGCCACGGUGAAUACGUUCCCGGGCCUUGCACA
rnacentral:rRNA from 1 species